AGUUUGGGUGUUGCGGUGAGCGAACCAUAUUACAAGUCAAACUGUCAAAUAUAAAAUUUUGAUCUCGUUGGAUACCGCAUAAGUUGACAAUUGCCCAAAAAAGGACUCAAAGCACGUACAUGACAUCGUAACAGCUGACGCAUCUUGGAUCUAUGCAUAUGAGCCGAAAACAAAACAGCAAUCGACAGUAUGGGUGUUUCAAAACGAACUCUUUCCCUUUCUCCCUUCGGAAAAUCUCGCAUAUCGCGCCUGUAUCACUAAAAAACUUAAAAAAGUCAAGCCUGAGUCUAUCAAAAAGACAAUGCGAAUUCUCACGUAUCAGCUCACAAGAGUUUUUGAGCACUCAAAAGAUCAUCCGUAUUGUAGCCCUGAUUUGGAACCUAAUGAUUUCUUUUGUUUCCGAACAUCAAAAAUAAAAUGCGAAGUCUAUGUUUUUCAACGCUUAAAGAAGCUGUUAAGACCUUUAAACAGCUCGUUUUGGAGGUAUCCACUUCUGAGUGGCAAAACUGCUUUGAAAAUUAGUUCAAGCGAAUGCAGAAGUAUAUUGACUUCCAAGGAGAAUAUUUUGAAAAAAAUUGAAGAUCAGUUUUCUGUGUUUUCACAAAAAACGCAAAAAAUGAAAUAUAAAUAUAAACUUCCGUAUACUAACUACAAAGGCUAAUUGCCCUGCCAACAUAUCUCAACCCACUAUAGUAAUAAAAAGUGCUGCCGUAUAUUCCACAUACAUAGCAGGCCCGAUACCAACAAUCACCGGCAUGGAUCAUCACUGGUUGUGGUGUGCCCAAGACAUAUAACUGCUCCAUGCCAAUAAAAAAAAGUUUUAUAAAAGUUUCGCGAUGAAGUUUUAUAUCCUAUUGUUUGCAAGUCCAAGUUUGAAAGAGCGUGAGAUCGCGUUGAGUGUUGACAAUUUAAUUUGCUGGCGGUUUGUGCAUUUUCUUGAUAUAGCGAAUGCUCGACACAUGUUAGUAAGCACCCAACACCAAUCAUGAAACAGAAAAAAAAGUAGUUUCAUCUUUUCAUUAAUCAUAUGGAAACAUUAAGCACAUCUUUGUCACAUUGGAAUUUUCACGAAGAUAGAUUUUUUAUGAAAUAGAUUUUUAGAACUUUA